CCUUCUAGAACUAGAUCCUCCUCCUCUAGUAGUAGUCAUUCUCCUUAGUUCCUGCAACAACACAUGAUAUUCAAUAUCAAACAUUUAGAGGAUAAACAAUCUCAUAAUCUUUAGCUUUUAACUCAUUUCAUAAACCAUCUAUACGAAACAAAUUCAUCAAAUCCGAAUUGUAAUCAUACAACUAGUCACAAUGGCUAUUAACAGAGGCAAUUUCAAAUCCGAAUUGUAAUUCAAAUCCAAAUUAUAAAACCCUCACAGAGAAGAGGAGAAGUUCUCAGAAGAAAUCAAAACCUAAUUAAACCCAACACAAUCAAUCGAAAUUAGGGAUCUAACAAAUGAAAUUCAAUUAAAAAUGCAUAUGUUUGAAAAAAAAUCAAAGAGAACUACAUAUCAAACCCUCACAGAGAAGAAGAAAUCAGAACAAAUAAAAACUAAUUAAACCCAACACAAUCAAUCGAAAUGAGUGAUCUAACUAAUGAAAUCUUACCAAGAGAAGACACGCCAGAGUUUUCUCACGGCGGAUUCUUCGAUUUCACGGUGGAUUUCACGGAGAAGAAGAGAAAAGAUGAUCUUUGGAUCAAUAGAAACGAGUGAAGAGGGAAGAAGAAGAAGACGAAAGAGUAUCGAGAGAAGAGAGAAGAAGAAGG
rnacentral:lncRNA from 1 species